GAUGAACGCUGGCGGCGUGCCUAAUACAUGCAAGUCGAGCGAACAGACGAGGAGCUUGCUCCUCUGACUUUAGCGGCGGACGGGUGAGUAACACGUGGAUAACCUACCUAUAAGACUGGGAUUACUUCGGGAAACCGGUGCUAAUACCGGAUAAUAUAUUGAACCGCAUGGUUCAAUAGUUUAAGACGGUUUUGCAUUCACUGAUCGAUGGUUCCGCUCGGCAUUAGCUAGUUGGUAAGGUAACGGCUUACCAAGGCCACGAUUCGUAGCCGAGCUGAGAGGGUGAUCAGCCACACUGGAACUGAGACACGGUCCAGACUCCUACGGGAGGCAGCAGUAGGGAAUCUUGCGCAAUGGGCGAAAGCCUGACGGAGCAACGCCGCGUGAGUGAUGAAGGUCUUCGGAUCGUAAAGCUCUGUUAUUAGGGAAGAAGAAAUGUGUAAGUAACUAUGCACGUCUUGACGGUACCUGAUCAGGAAGCCACGGCUAACUACGUG
rnacentral:rRNA from 1 species